AUUGAACGCUGGCGGCAUGCCUUACACAUGCAAGUCGAACGGCAGCACGGGGCAACCUGGUGGCGAGUGGCGAACGGGUGAGUAAUGCAGCGGAGCGUACCUUUCAGUGGGGGAUAACGUAGCGAAAGUUACGCUAAUACCGCAUAUUCUGUGAGCAGGAAAGCAGGGGAUCGCAAGACCCUGAGCUGAUUGAUCGGACGAAGUGAGAUUAGCCAGUUGGUGAGGUAAAGGCUCACCAAGGCGACGAUCUGUAGCGGGUCUGAGAGGAGGAUCCGCCACACUGGAACUGAGACACGGUCCAGACUCCUACGGGAGGCAGCAGUGGGGAAUUUUGGACAAUGGGGGCAACCCUGAUCCAGCCAUGCCGCGUGAGUGAAGAAGGCCUUCGGGUUGUAAAGCUCUUUCGGCCGGGAAGAAAUCGCACGGGCUAAUACCCUGUGUGGAUGACGGUACCGGAAUAAGAAGCACCGGCUAACUACGUGCCAGCCGCCGCCGUAAAAC
rnacentral:rRNA from 1 species